AAGAGGGUCCCAACUAACAGAAACUGAAAGCAAUCUCUAUAAAAUUAACGAAACUUGCACAUGCAAAGCAUCAUUACUAUAGUCAAAGCAUGUGACAAUAGUAGUUACUUCAAUAAGUUCUUCCUUUUCUUCCUUACCAUCGGCUUACCAUCUUGACUGUCUCCAUAAUCUGUGUGUUAUAGUUAAGGGCUCGAAAGUUUCAUAUGAACGGGAAUUCUUAAAAAAGACCUCAGUCAUUCGUUUGUUUUGUAGGAGUCCAUUUGCAUUUUCUUCACUUUAGAUGAAAAGUGCUCAGGUUUAGCAAAUUUAAAGGAUCUUUUGUGUUCAAGGUAGCAAAAUAGGGACAAAAGUUGACCUACUUACAGGACUAUUCUAGUUAAGAACUCAAUAUUAGGUAGUAUUUAAUAUCCUCAUUACUUAUCUCCUUUGCUUUUAUUUAUGUUAAUUGUUAGUACAUAGUUUUCCUUUUGAACCUUUCUUUCAGUUUGAUGUUAUAACUAUACUAGACAAGGCUCAAAGGUUAUUUAGAUGUUUACAGUUUUUGGUUACUUUAUCAUAAUUUAUUAUUUGCAAACUAUAGUAAUG
rnacentral:lncRNA from 1 species